rnacentral:rRNA from 1 species
GACGAACGCUGGCGGCGUGCUUAACACAUGCAAGUCGAACGGAAAGGCCCUGCUUGCAGGGUACUCGAGUGGCGAACGGGUGAGUAACACGUGGGUGAUCUGCCCUGCACUUCGGGAUAAGCCUGGGAAACUGGGUCUAAUACCGGAUAGGAGCCAUUUUUAGUGUGAUGGUUGGAAAGUUUUUUCGGUGUAGGAUGAGCUCGCGGCCUAUCAGCUUGUUGGUGGGGUAAUGGCCUACCAAGGCGGCGACGGGUAGCCGGCCUGAGAGGGUGGACGGCCACAUUGGGACUGAGAUACGGCCCAGACUCCUACGGGAGGCAGCAGUGGGGAAUAUUGCACAAUGGGCGCAAGCCUGAUGCAGCGACGCCGCGUGGGGGAUGAUGGCCUUCGGGUUGUAAACUCCUUUCGCUAGGGACGAAGCUUUUUGUGACGGUACCUAGAGAAGAAGCACCGGCUAACUACGUG